rnacentral:rRNA from 1 species
AGAUUGAACGCUGGCGGCAGGCCUAACACAUGCAAGUCGAGCGGCAGCACGGGUACUUGUACCUGGUGGCGAGCGGCGGACGGGUGAGUAAUGCCUAGGAAUCUGCCUGAUAGUGGGGGAUAACGCUCGGAAACGGACGCUAAUACCGCAUACGUCCUACGGGAGAAAGCAGGGGACCUUCGGGCCUUGCGCUAUCAGAUGAGCCUAGGUCGGAUUAGCUAGUUGGUGGGGUAAUGGCUCACCAAGGCGACGGUCCGUAACUGGUCUGAGAGGAUGAUCAGUCACACUGGAACCGAGACACGGUCCAGACUACCUACGGAGGCAGCAGUGGGAAUAUUGGACAAUAGGGCGAAAGCCUGAUCAGCCAUGCCGCGUGUGUAGAA